AUGAAAUUAGUGAUCGAAUCACAAUCACUGAUAUGUAGCAGCGGUCAUAAUAUAUUACUAUCGGUAUAAAAUGUACUAUAGAAAGUUAUAAUACGCUAUAACAGUAGAACGUAUAAGUAUUUUUUAAGUAACAGAAGAUUCCAUCUGCUCUGACAUAAGUGUGAAUGCUCUUUCUUAGAAAGUUCAACAUAAAUAAGUAAAAGUUAUCUUAAUUUGCGAAUUCAGAUAUUGAACCCAACACCGUGAAGUGAUAUUAGGACUCUUAAAUGUCAAGGAUAUUGUAGGUCUACACAACUAAAAAUGCCUGUACCUUCAAGUGUAAAGAAAGGAAAUUCUCUUAGUUACCAGAAGAGAGAUUUUGAAAAUGAUCCAAGCAACUAAGUACAAUUUAUCACCACUGGAAAACUGCUAACUAUUCAUGAAAGAUGAAUAUACAAGGCCUUUAACAACAACUUAAGACUAGACUGUCAUCUAAGUGUAUCCAAAAACUGAAGACAAGCAUCAUAUCAACUAGUGUUGAACAAAUGGGUGCCUUGAAAAACAAAUCUACUUGACCUAUUGGUUCUAGCGUAUGAGACCAAAGAGAUCAAGUAUUUCUUUAUGUAUAAACGAUAUGAAGCUUUGUACCUAACUGAACAUGUUUUCAGCUCAUGGUGCACAGUCUACAGGAGGAGUGGAGACUUUCAGGGAAGACAACUAGCCAGCAGCAUCCUACCACCCAUGCUAAGGGAUUGACUGCAAUUCAUAUAAUGCACCUGGAAGUGUGGAGAAUAUAUUAUUAUAUCACAUGGAUUUGAAUCGGGCUCACCAACUCUGAAAUCCAGGGCUCUACCACUGCAGGGCCAACUUAUGCUCAACAACGAAUAGGAGCAAUGUUUUGGCAAAAUUUCUUCAAGGUUAUAUGGAUAAAUUGUUAACUAUAUUCUCCCCCUUACAUUAAUUUAUAAUAAUUUCUUUACAUUUUCUUGAAGAAUCUAUUUUUUCCCUUAGAAGCCAUGAUCAUUUGUUAAUGGAUCUUAAUGCAAGUGUUUGUUUUCUCUUUUUUUUUUUACAUAGUUUCUAUAAACUAUUAAUUGGUAGUUGAAUAAUAUAAAAAGUUUGUAUUUCUAGCAUCUUUCUAUUGACAUGCUAAUAGUAUUGGUAAUGUUUUACAUUUUGCUCUUUGAUGUUAUGUGCAGUUUAAAAAAUCAUGGUUCACCUUCAAUUACAGAUGGGGUCAAUAUAGAACUGUUCAGAUUUUUAAAUAUUAUUUUUUUUUUUACAUCAGUCCAUCACUUUGAUGAUUAAGAUUCACCCCCCCCCCAAUUCCCAAGCACUUAUAAUGAUCAGUGGAGCAUCUCAGUACUUUCCCUAUGAUGCCUCAAAUAAACAUUAUUCUCCUCAGCCUUUUUAAUGACGCUAUCAUCAUAGAACCUGAUAAUACAUACUUAUAAAUAUAUUAAGUAAAGGCUUAUGGCUCCAUAAGUAAUACAUAGCAAAUCCUGCUUACAAGGAUAUAAAGGUGAAUAAUUUCUAAUAAUGAUAAUUGAUAGUGAAAAUUACUUACACAAGUAUUCCUAAACUUUGGUCAUCCAUGAUAACUAUGGUUUCUUGCAUGUCUCCCCUCUUUUUUUAAAUGAGUGAAACAGUGAGUUAAGUGACAAGAUAUAAUACACAUAUACACAUUAAAAUGCUAUAAGUGUUGCAGAAAUUAUUUAUUAUUUUCAUUGAUAAAAAUAAAUGCUUAAUUCCGCAUUAUUGCACCAGUAACUCUACCCUAAUUACUUUUGCCCUCCUGGGAGGCAUGCCUCAUAAUUUAGAAAAUGCUGUCUUACAACAACAACAACAAAACCACACACACACUACCAAACACUGCACUUAAUUAUGGCUAAAAGAAAGUACAUCUUGCAUGUAGCUUUAGCUUAAAUAAAGUUGACAUUUAUACAGCCAUUCACGAUCUGUGUUUCAUAUUUGUUUACAUGAGAAAGUUCUGGUUCCAAGGUUUAAAAAUUCUUGCCUCCUCCUGAUUUGUGCAGACAUUAUAACAAAAUGUGAUUUAAGUAUUCAUUUGAAAAAUCCAGGUCAGAAAGAGCUUUGGUCUGUAUUUCUCUUACACAUUAGUUAACUUGUAAUAUCUUCUCAUAUAUACACACACAUAAAGCUGUGUCUGUCCAUUAUCUAACUCCUGUGUUGUUGGGCCAAUUUCAACCCACUUUGUGGGAUACUAGUUUGGAAUAAGGGGCAUAUUAAUGGGGGUUAACAAUCCCCUCCACCCCUUAUUAUUGCUGUUAUUGAGCAUUUAUUACUUUUGAUGUAAGUUCACAUUAAUUACAUUCAUAGAUGGCGCCAUGUCUUUACACCAAAAACUUUAUUGAAUUUUCUAUAAAACAACAUAUACACAGUGUGGGAGAGAGCACACAAACAUCUUAUGUAUCUGAGAGAGCGCAGUAGCAUUCUCUAUGAAGGAAUGCAGUGAAAAAAAUGGCCACCACUACUGGAAUACCACAAAAGCUCAGCUGAAGUUUCACCACCAUAAAUAAGGCUGAUAUGAAGAGCCAUUUUUUGAGUUAUACCCACUUCCUACUUUAACCCAUGACCUUUCAACUUCAGCCUGUAAGACACUUAUGCGGCCAAUGACUGUUAAUUAAUUAAUCAUGUGAAACACCACAGAAGGACAUUAAAAGCUGGGUGUUGAAUGUGGGUAACAGAAAGAUUUCAAGCAAAGAUAAGUAAUUUUGAUGUAUUCUUAAUUGAAAUAAGUACUUUUAUUACAAAAAUUGUGUAUUUUUUAGACUGUAAAUGUAACAAUAAUCUAGAGGAUAUGUAUCUUUCAUUACAGUGGGUUCCAGUAGAUAUUCGUACUUGGAUGUGUACUCCUGAAAUGUCACAUUUUUGAGUAGCAUUCUAGGGUGUAUCUUUUCUUCAAAAGUAAGGUAAAAUUGAAACUAGUCGUAAUUUGCAAGAAUUAUCGAUACAACUUUUAUACACGUUUUAGCUUGUUAUUUCACAUGUAAGUGCAAGUUUAAAACUGAAAAAAAGUGUGUACAUUUACCUUCAAUAAUAAAAAGAUGCAACUGUCA